AAGCUUUCGCGGUAUGGGAUGGGGUCGCGUCCUAUCAGCUUGACGGCGGGGUAACGGCCCACCGUGGCUUCGACGGGUAGCCGGCCUGAGAGGGCGACCGGCCACAUUGGGACUGAGAUACGGCCCAGACUCCUACGGGAGGCAGCAAUGGGGAAUAUUGCACAAUGGGCGCAAGCCUGAUGCAGCGACGCCGCGUGAGGGAUGGAGGCCUUCGGGUUGUAAACCUCUUUUAUCGGGGAGCAAGCGAGAGUGAGUUUACCCGUUGAAUAAGCACCGGCUAACUACGUGCCAGCAGCCGCGGUAAUACGUAGGGUGCAAGCGUUAUCCGGAAUUAUUGGGCGUAAAGGGCUCGUAGGUGGUUCGUCGCGUCCGGUGUGAAAGUCCAUCGCUUAACGGUGGAUCUGCGCCGGGUACGGGCGGGCUUGAGUGCGGUAGGGGAGACUGGAAUUCCCGGUGUAACGGUGG
rnacentral:rRNA from 1 species